rnacentral:rRNA from 1 species
AGUGAACGCUGGCGGUAGGCCUAACACAUGCAAGUCGAGCGGCAGCACAGUAAGCGCUUGCCCUUACGGGUGGCGAGGGGCGGACGGGUGAGGCAUAGAUCGCAAUCUACUUUUUCGGGGGUGAUAACGUAGGAAAACUUACGCUACUACCUCAUACGACCAACGGGUGAAAUCAACAGAGCAUCGCGCCUUUGCCGUCUCUAUUAGCCGAUGUCGGAUUGGCUAGUUGGCGUGGUAAGGGCCCACCAAGGCGACGAACCGUAGCUUGUCUGAGAGGAUGAUCAGCCAAACUGGAACUGAGACACGGUCCAGACUCCCACGGGAGGCAGCAGUGGGGAAUAUUUGAGAAUGGGCGGAAGCCUGAUCGAGCCAUCCCGCGUGGGUGAAGAAGGGCUUCCGGUUGGAAAGACCUUGUUUUGGGAAAGAAAAGCAGCAGGUUAAUACCCCGCUGUUCUGACGGUACCCAAAGAAUAAGCACCGGCUAACUUCGUG